CAAGGUGAGAGAUACGGAGGUAGAGCACUGAAUGUCCUAGGGGGUAUUGCACCUACCGAAGACUAUCAAACUCCGAAUGCCGGCAUCUUAUACUUGGGAGUCAGACUGUGGGUGAUAAGAUUCAUAGUCGAAAGGGCAACAGCCCAGAUCGUCAGCUAAGGUCCCUAAAUGUAAGUUAAGUGGUAAAGGAUGUGGGAUUGCACAGACAACCAGGAUGUUGGCUUAGAAGCAGCCACUCAUUCAAAGAG
rnacentral:rRNA from 1 species